rnacentral:lncRNA from 1 species
CCUGGAAAACCCGGGGCAGAGCGUGGCUGGCGCGGAGUCGCGGGACAGCUCGGGCCCGGGUCGAGAAGUUUCACAGUAGUAAUCAACUUAUUGGUGGUGUUUGGAGUGAGUGUGUAUGCUGCUAACUUCUACAAGGCUAACUGGAAGCUGCUCACAUGUUAUCAGCACCAGUGUAGACGCAAAGAUAGGCAAUGCCAAGCCCUGUACAAGUAGAAAUGGUAAGAACCACAUGGUUCUAGAAGAAAGCUCACCAAGUGCUGGGACAGUCGGAAAAGGCUCCAGAUCAGAGACAGGGCUUGCACUGGGCCUUCCGUCCAUCACAAAUGCUUGGUAAGUGUCCACUGUAUACAGGCACCAGCCAGAGUUUCGCAGACAGCAGUGAGCAAACCGGCAGCCAUGCCCGUCGCCAUGUGUGAAAGGAGAACCAAAAGGAAGCCAGCACGCAAGACCCCUCGUGACUGAGGGAAAAGCAGCACCAGAAGAGCUCGCAAGGUAGGUGGCCCGCUGCUCUUUGCACCAAGGAGCUGAAGGCAGACGUAUGGAAGACAGACACCCAGACCCGGCUUUUACAAAGAUUUGUUCUUCCGUUCAGAAGUGGACUGAGCAUCUACAGUCUGCCAGACACAGGUGGAGAAAGAGAGCGGAGGCUUACGGAGGAACCGCCAUCCCCACGUGAAUCAUCACAGCACAGCCAAAGAGCAGCUCCGUAAAGCAGAGGGGCCAAGAGACGAGCCAGAAGGCCGGAGGAGGAGGAGACCUCUGACCUGCAGGAUCUGUACCAGGGACCACAGCAACCUCUGGGUGGAGAGCAAGGGCACAGCUCUGAGGAGGCGGAAGGGUGUGUCAGAGGCAGGAGAAGGCAUUUCGGAAGGCUUGCUGCGCUGCUGCUGGGCUCCUCGCUAAGGAGAAACUCCAGGGCAGUUCAAGCAAGGAGUGAUAUGAUCCAAUUUAACUUAAAAAGAUCAACCUUUUUGCUGUGGGACAAAAUUGAAAACAGGGAGACCCAUUUGUGUCUCUUGCAGUGAAUCAGACUACGGUAAAGAUAGCUGGACCCAGGGUCCUCAAACCUUUUGCACAUAUCUAAUAAACUAAUUUUGUGAAAACUUAUAAGCCCCCAUGUUUAAGAUAAUGGCAAAAUUUUACAUUAUGUUUAAAACAUUGAAUUUUUAUUUUGAGAGAGAGCACGUGCGCGUGCACACGUGCAAGUGGGGGAGGGGGAGAGAGAGACUGAGCCACCCAGGCUCCCCAGAGACAAUCUUUUUUUUUUUUUUUUUUUUAAUUUUUUUUUUUCAACGUUUAUUUAUUUUUGGGACAGAGAGAGACAGAGCAUGAACAGGGGAGGGGCAGAGAGAGAGGGAGACACAGAAUCGGAAACAGGCUCCAGGCUCCGAGCCAUC